CGGACAGGGCGGGGGUGGACGGGGACGGGGGAUCCACACUAGUAAUAUAAUUAAUAAUAGGCUAAAGUCAGUCACACACCUCGACUUUCUUCCAAAUAACGCACAUUUCAUUCAUAAUGUUAUAAUACAGGCCUAUAGUUCCUGCAAAUGAAACUAGGUAAUACAAAACGAUGAUGCGGUCAUCAAGGUGAAUUGGUUUAGUCUUGACUUCUGGUCCUGAGUGACAGUUGGGGGGAUGGGAAAUCUGUUGAUUGUCGAGUGCCAAAUAAACAGAGAUGGAGAAGAAAAGGUCAAAGCCAGGUGCCCAAUUUCGAAAAAAAAAGAAAAGAAGAAGAGGAGAAACGAGCAAAAGAUAAAGGGGCACUUCUAAAAUAUUUUGGAGCAUCCUCUGCCACUGGUCAGGAUGAGCCAACCACCUCCUCCGCUACACAUAUGUCUCCACAAAUAUCUGAUAUUGAGGAUGAAGACCUCUUUGCCUCUACUUCUACCCAGCAUGAUCUUUCAGAAAUGCCUGGAGCUGAACCCCCACUGAGCCCCACUGGCCCUCACAUCUGACUGACAGGAUUCAGACUGAGCUGGUUCACAGAGGACCAAGUAAAGUGCCACCUGGCUUUGUUUUCCCUAGGAAUGAGAGUAAUGGGAGAAGUUGCCACCACUAAUAUUUUAAGAAGACAUUAGUAAGUGGUGAAAAGAUGGCAAGAAUUGAUUUAUUCAAUUAAGAACAACAGCCUCUUUUGCUUCUGCUGCAAAUUGUUUUCCAAGAGGAACAUCAAUUUAACAAGUGCAGGAAUGGCAAAUUGGAAACAUGCAUGCAAUGAUCUCACAUCACAUGAAAACAGUUGUUAUAAUAA